rnacentral:rRNA from 1 species
GACGAACGCUGGCGGCGUGCUUAACCCAUGUAAGUCGAACGGAAAGGCCCUGCUUUUGUGGGGUGCUCGAGUGGCGAAAGGGUGAGUGACACGUGAGUAACCUGCCCUUGACUAUGGGAUACCUUCAGGAGACUGGGGCUGAUACCGGCUCGGAGCUCCUCCUGCGUGGUGGGGGUUGGGAAGUCUCAUCCGAUGGGGCUGGACUCGCGGCUUAUCAGCUUGUUGGUGGGGUAGUGGCUUACCAAGGCUUUGACGGGUAGCCGGCCUGAGAGGGUGACCGGCCACAUUGGGACUGAGAGACGGCCCAGACUCCUACGGGAGGCAGCAGUGGGGAAUAUUGCACAAUGGGCGGAAGCCUGAUGCAGCAACGCCGCGUGCGGGAUGACGGCCUUCGUGUGGUAAUCCGCUUUCGCCUGUGACGAAGCGUGAGUGACGGUAAUGGGGAAAGAAGCACCGGCUAACUACGUG